rnacentral:tRNA from 1 species
GGCAACAUGGCCGAGUGGUCUAAGGCGCUGGAAUUAGGCAUUUACUGCAAAUCCAGUCUUCAUUGGCGAGGGUUCGAAUCCCUCUGUUGUCA